GCAAACGCCUAAUCCGAAACGAACGUCGGCAAACUAACAAUUAAUCUCAACAAUUGAAAACCAAACAGGCAAAUAUCGCGGUGAAAUUAAUCGGAAAGGCAAAGUGUUUUUCGCAGACCUUCGUUAACAAAUGCUUUAAAAGCCAUUACUUAGAGAUAAUUCAUUGUCCCGAAUUUAAUGGGAAGUUACGGGAAUUGGAUCAGGAGCAGGAUUUGAGGACACAGAAAUGCGAUUCAAAAUAGCCCUGAAACUUCUUCUGAUACUAACGCUGGCCAGCGCACAAAACCAGGACUGCGUGCCGCGUCCCAAGUGUGUUCCAGCCGCACCCCCUGUACCCGUUAUACCCGUUAUACCAGUCAUACCCGUCUACUACUAUGUAUACUACCCUUAUAUUUAUGGAUAAAAACCUACCUCUAUAUUAGCAGUGGCGGUGUUAGGACAGGGCGCGGUAGGGCGACCGGCGCCCCUUCGCCUUUCUUUUUCGUAUAGGUUUAAAUAGCAGUUAGACCAGUUAGGAGGCGUCGCGUCGACAAACGCAUUAUUCGUGUGUUGCGAUUUUAUUUGAGGCGUUUAAAUCAGGCGUUCACUUUUCCGUGCAUAAUAUGCGCAUUGUUUAAGAAAAGAUUUUCUUAUACCAACCAAUUUGCAGAAAAUUCGUGUUUGUACGGGACACGGUAGACUCUUCCAUGGAAUGCUUCCUUUUUUGUAUCCGGCGAGUGAAGUGAAUCAGAAUUUUAGAACUAAACAGAACUUAAUCGUGUAACACUUUUUUGGCCCCAAAUAUAAAUGUAUGUGUACUGUGUACGCGAUUAAGUCCCGUUUAAUUCUAAAAUUAGAAGUAAAUCAGGUCGCCGUGAAGCUUGUGUCCAAAAUGCGUUACUUAUAUUUAAAUAAUGUCAUACAAUUAUAUUACACGUCCAUUAUACGGUUACCUUUGAUAUCCGACACCCUUGUGCUGGCUACGUACCACAAUGUCGAAAAUCAAAUGUCCGAAGUACGAAAUUCCGAAAGACAUGACAUCGAAACUCAAAAUUGCUAAUGUACGAAAUUCCUAAAGAUGCAUGUCCUACUACAGUUUUAAUCGACCGAUCUCAUUUUCGAAAUUCAAUAUUCCUUUGUCCAAAAUUCCUUACACCAAUACUUCGAAAGUCGAUACUUAUAUUUAGUUCUUAAAAUUGCACGACAGUAUAUUAUCUGCAUUUAUUUAUUUACAUGAAAAAACCCUUUUUUUAAACUGUUCUGUUCUGUGCUACUGCUACCCUAUUAUACUUCUCGCGUUGAAUUAGGUUGGUUUACGUAAUUAUGUAAAAAGAAUCAUGUUCAAACAUUAUUUUUUCUAAAUAACUAAAUAUAUGUACUUAACUUUUAAAACGAGUCUCCAUAAUACGUUUGUUACAAACCGAACUGACAUAGUGACUAUCAUUGAUGUAAGAUGUAUCAUCAUAUUUUAUCAUCAUGUAUGUAUCAUAUCUUAUAAAAGCUCAUUCAUACAUACUUUCCUAUCAUAAUAAAUCUAUUAUAAAGA